UACGGAGGGUGCGAGCGUUAUCCGGAAUCACUGGGUUUAAAGGGUGCGUAGGCGGGAUAUUAAGUCAGUGGUGAAAUCUUGUCGCUUAACGAUAAAAUUGCCAUUGAUACUGAUAUUCUUGAAUUGGGUUGAGGUUAGCGGAAUAUGACAUGUAGCGGUGAAAUGCAUAGAUAUGUCAUGGAACACCAAUUGCGAAGGCAGCUAGCUGGGCCUUGAUUGACGCUGAGGCACGAAAGCGUGGGUAGCGAACAGG
rnacentral:rRNA from 1 species